GGGGCUUCCCUGGUGGCGCAGUGGUUGAGAGUCGGCCUGCCGAUGCAGGGGACGCAGGUUUGUGCCCUGUUCCGGGAGGAUCCCGCAUGCCGCGGAGCGGCUGGGCCCGUGAGCCAUGGCCGCUGAGCCUGCGCAUCUGGAGCCUGUGCUCCGUGAUGGGAGAGACCACGACGAUUGGUGUCAGGGUUCACCACAGUUCCAGAGGAGGUUGACCUGACCAUCAGCAGGGCUACUUAGAGGCCUGGUCCUUCUUCACAGUGAGUGGGCUUGGGCCCAACUCUGAAUCCAGCCAUGCAAACACUGCCCAUGAAGCCCUAGCAGGGCUACCAAGAAAAAACUACUGAGACAUCAAGACAUUGUGAAUGGAGAAUGUUUGGGAGCCUCUGGAUUAAACUGUCCUUGCUUUUGUCUGUAUGUGGC